rnacentral:rRNA from 1 species
CCCUUAGAUGUUCUGGGCCGCACGCGCGCUACACUGACGAUGGCAACGAGUUUUUCCUUCGCCGAAAGGUGUGGGUAAUCUUUUGAAACAUCGUCGUGCUGGGGAUAGAUCAUUGCAAUUUUUGAUCUUGAACGAGGAAUUCCUAGUAAGCGCGAGUCAUCAGCUCGCGUUGAUUACGUCCCUGCCCUUUGUACACACCGCCCGUCGCUACUACCGAUUGAAUGGUUUAGUGAGGACUCCUGAUUGGCGCCGCCGCCCCGGCAACGGAGCAGCGGACUGCCGAAAAGUUGUUCAAACUUGAUCAUCUAGAGGAAGUAAAAGUCGUAACA